GCUGGAAUGGCCAAGUGGUAAGGCGUCGCACUCGUAUGUCGUACGAUAUGCGAAGAUCCUGAGUUCAAUCCUCAGUUUCAGCU